UAUCAUUAACCAUUCUUCAAAACCCUCAUUCUAAUCUCAACCUAGAGGUCACUUCAUCUGAGUUCCCAACAAACUGGCGCUUGGGUUCUUUCUGUCCUUGCAGUCCUACCAAGUGACCACGAGUAAGACC